UACGAAGGGGGCUAGCGCUGCUCGGAAUCACUGGGCGUAAAGCGCACGUAGGCGGAUUGCUAAGUCAGGGGUGAAAUCCUGGAGCUCAACUCCAGAACUGCCCUUGAUACUGGCGGUCUCGAGUCCGGGAGAGGUGAGUGGAACUGCGAGUGUAGAGGUGAAAUUCGUAGAUAUUCGCAAGAACACCAGUGGCGAAGGCGGCUCACUGGCCCGGUACUGACGCUGAGGUGCGAAAGCGUGGGGAGCAAACAGGG
rnacentral:rRNA from 1 species